rnacentral:rRNA from 1 species
GGAGCUGGAGAAGGGCGCACGGGGGAUGCCUGGGCUACCGGAGGCGAGGAAGGACGUGACAAGCUGCGAAAAGCCGCGGGGAGGCGCAAAUGGCCGGAGAUCCGCGGGUGUCCGAAUGGGGAAACCCGCCGCGCUAGGGGCGCGGCACCCGCAGGGAUGCGGGGGCGAACCCGGGGAACUGAAACAUCUAAGUACCCGGAGGAGGAGAAGACAACAGUGAUUCCCGGAGUAGCGGCGAGCGGAACGGGAGGAGCCCAAACCGUGGCGGUUGCGGCCGCUGCGGGGUAGUAGGGGGCGUCGGGAGCGAAGCCUGAGGGGAAGCGGAACCGUCUGGAGCGGCGGGCCAAAGGGGGUGAGAGCCCCGUACGCGCAACCCUGGGCGGAGCGGGCGCGGCCCUGAGUAGGGCGGGGCACGGGAAACCCUGUCCGAAUCAGCCGGGACCAUCCGGCAAGGCUAAAUACUCCCGGUAGACCGAUAGCGGACGAGUACCGUGAGGGAAAGGUGAAAAGCACCGCGAGCAGCGGGGUGAAAGAGGACCUGAAACCGUGCGCCUACGAGCGGUCGGAGUCCGCCGCGAGGCGGAUGACGGCGUGCCUUUUGCAUAAUGAGCCUACGAGUUGCCGUGCCCGGCGAGGUUAACCCCCUGGAGGGGGGGAGCCGGAGCGAAGGCGAGUCCGAAGAGGGCGGAGAGUCGGGUGCGGCAGGCGCGAAACUUUGCGAUCUACCCAUGGACAGGCUGAAGGCGUCGUAACGGGCGCUGGAGGGCCGAACCGGUGAGCGUUGAAAAGCUUUCGGAUGAGCCGUGGGUAGGGGUGAAAGGCCAAUCAAGCUGAGAGAUAGCUCGUACUCCCCGAAAUGCCUUUAGGGGCAGCCUCGGGCGGUGCGGGUGGCGGAGGUAGAGCUACCGGUUGGGUGCGAGGGCUUCACCGCCUAUCAAGCCCAGGCGAACUCCGAAUGCCGCCACCCGGGGCCCGGGAGUGAGCCGCGGGGUGCUAAUGUCCCGCGACGAGAGGGGAAGAACCCGGACCGGCGGCUAAGGUCCCGGAGCGCGCGCUAAGUCGGGAGGAAACGAGGUGCGGCAGCAGAGACAGCUAGGAUGUUGGCUUGGAAGCAGCCACUCAUUCAAAGAGUGCGUAACAGCUCACUAGUCGAGCGGCCGUGCGUGGAUGAUGACCGGGCGUCAAGCGCGCCACCGAAGCCCCGGGCGGGCCGGGGAAACCCGGCCUGCGGUAGGGGAGCAUUCCAUGGCCGGGGAACCGGGGCCGGGAGGCCCCGGGGAGGGCAUGGAAAAGCAGCUGUAGGCAUGAGUAACGAUAAUCCCGGUGGGAAACCGGGACACCGCAAGGCCAAGGGUUCCUGAUCAACGCUAGUCGGAUCAGGGUUAGCCGGGUCCUAAGGCGCACCCCGGGGACGGGGGAGGCCGAUGGGGGGCGGGUUAACAUUCCCGCGCUGGCGGCGGGUGCGAUCCGGGGACGGAUUUCCGAGGCGGCUGGGAGCUGACGGAUUAGCUCGCGGAGCUUAGCCCACGGGCGAAGCGAAGCCGCGCAGGGGGUUCCGAGAAAAGCCGGUAAGCGCCAGCCCGCCGCCACCCGUACCGUAAACCGACACAGGUGGCCGGGGAGAGCAUCCCCAGGUGGACGGGAGAAUCAUGGCCAAGGAACUAGGCAAGCUGGCCCUGUAACUUCGGGAGAAGGGGCCCCCCGCGGGGAGCCGCGGGGGCGCAGCGAAGAGGCCCAGGCGACUGUUUACCAAAAACACAGGGCUCUGCGAAACCGCGAGGUGAUGUAUAGGGCCUGACACCUGCCCGGUGCCGGAAGGUUAAGAGGGGGCGUCAUCCCGGCUAAGGCCGGGGGCAGCGCUGAGUUGAAGCCCCGGUAAACGGCGGCCGUAACUAUAACGGUCCUAAGGUAGCGAAAUUCCUUGUCGGGUAAGUUCCGACCUGCACGAAUGGUGUAACGAUCUGGGCGCUGUCUCGGCCAUGAUCCCGGUGAAAUUGAAGUCGCGGUGAAGAUGCCGCGUACCCGCAACGGGACGGAAAGACCCCGUGAACCUUCACUGCAGCUUAGCGCUGGCGCUGGGGGCGCGAUGUGUAGGAUAGGCCGGAGGCGGAGAGCCGCGGGCGCCAGCCCGCGGGGAGCCGGCGUUGAAAUACGGCCCUUCGCGCGCCUGGGGUCUAAUCCGGCUAAAGCCGGAGACACCGCUUGGCGGGUAGUUUGACUGGGGUGGUCGCCUCCAAAAGGGUAACGGAGGCUUCCCAAGGUGCCCUCAGCGCGCAUGGUAACCGCGCGGGGAGUGCAAUGGCACAAGGGCGCUUGACUGCGAGGCGGACAUGCCGAGCAGGUGCGAAAGCAGGGCAUAGUGAUCCGGUGGUACCGAGUGGAAGGGCCAUCGCUCAAAGGAUAAAAGGUACUCCGGGGAUAACAGGCUGAUCGCUCCCAAGAGCUCAUAUCGACGGAGCGGUUUGGCACCUCGAUGUCGGCUCGUCACAUCCUGGGGCUGGAGAAGGUCCCAAGGGUUCGGCUGUUCGCCGAUUAAAGUGGCACGCGAGCUGGGUUCAGAACGUCGUGAGACAGUUCGGUCCCUAUCUGUUGUGGGCGUAGGAGGCCUGAGGGGGCCUGGCACUAGUACGAGAGGACCGUGCUGGACGCACCGCUGGUGAACCUGUUGCGGCGCCAGCCGCACGGCAGGGUAUCCAGGUGCGGGCGGGAUAAGCGCUGAAGGCAUCUAAGCGCGAAGCCCUCCCCGAGAUGAGGCCUCCGUGAGGGCCGUGGGAGACUACCACGUUGAUAGGCUGCAGGUGUAAAGGCGGUGACGCCAAAGCCGAGCAGUACUAAUAGCCCGAUGGCUCCCGGCU